UUGAGGAGUGGCUUCCGGAGCUAACGCGUUAAGUCGACCGCCUGGGGAGUACGGCCGCAAGGUUAAAACUCAAAUGAAUUGACGGGGGCCCGCACAAGCGGUGGAGCAUGUGGUUUAAUUCGAUGCAACGCGAAGAACCUUACCUACUCUUGACAUCCAGAGAACUUAGCAGAGAUGCUUUGGUGCCUUCGGGAACUCUGAGACAGGUGCUGCAUGGCUGUCGUCAGCUCGUGUUGUGAAAUGUUGGGUUAAGUCCCGCAACGAGCGCAACCCUUAUCCUUUGUUGCCAGCGGUUCGGCCGGGAACUCAAAGGAGACUGCCAGUGAUAAACUGGAGGAAGGUGGGGAUGACGUCAAGUCAUCAUGGCCCUUACGAGUAGGGCUACACACGUGCUACAAUGGCGCAUACAAAGAGAAGCGACCUCGCGAGAGCAAGCGGACCUCAUAAAGUGCGUCGUAGUCCGGAUCGGAGUCUGCAACUCGACUCCGUGAAGUCGGAAUCGCUAGUAAUCGUAGAUCAGAAUGCUACGGUGAAUACGUUCCCGGGCCUUGCACUCACCGCCCGUCAAAA
rnacentral:rRNA from 1 species